rnacentral:rRNA from 1 species
CAGCACCUCAAGUGGUCAGGAUGAUUAUUGGGCCUAAAGCAUCCGUAGCCGGCGCUGUAAGUUUUCGGUUAAAUCUGUACGCUCAACGUACAGGCUGCCGGGAAUACUGCAGCGCUAGGGAGUGGGAGAGGUAGACGGUACUCGGUAGGAAGGGGUAAAAUCCUUUGAUCUAUUGAUGACCACCUGUGGCGAAGGCGGUCUACCAGAACACGACCGACGGUGAGGGAUGAAAGCUGGGGGAGCAAACCGGAUUAGAUACCCGAGUAGUCC